rnacentral:rRNA from 1 species
GAUGAACGCUGGCGGCGUGCCUAAUACAUGCAAGUCGAGCGAACAGACGAGGAGCUUGCUCCUCUGACGUUAGCGGCGGACGGGUGAGUAACACGUGGAUAACCUACCUAUAAGACUGGGAUAACUUCGGGAAACCGGAGCUAAUACCGGAUAAUAUAUUGAACCGCAUGGUUCAAUAGUGAAUGACGGUUUUGCUGUCACUUAUAGAUGGAUCCGCGCUGCAUUAGCUAGUUGGUAAGGUAACGGCUUACCAAGGCGACGAUGCGUAGCCGACCUGAGAGGGUGAUCGGCGACACUGGAACUGAGACACGGUCCAGACUCCUACGGGAGGCAGCAGUAGGGAAUCUUCCGCAAUGGGCGAAAGCCUGACGGAGCAACGCCGCGUGAGUGAUGAAGGUCUUCGGAUCGUAAAACUCUGUUAUUAGGGAAGAACAAAUGUGUAAGUAACUAUGCACGUCUUGACGGUACCUAAACAGAAAGCCACGGCUAACUACGUG